AAAUAUUUUAAGGAAAAAUAUAUGCACACGGACAUACAUUCAUAUAUGCAAUAUGAUAAUGAAGAAGCAAUGGUGACAUUUGGAUCUGGGUGAAUGGCUUAUGGGAAUUCAUUUUUGUACUGUUUUGUACAUUUUGUACUAUUCUUGUGCUUUUGCUAUAAGUCUGAAAUUCUUUUAAAAUAAGAAGGAAAUACAAUUAUGGCAGGAAAAUAGCUGACUGGGCCACAUUAUUAGCCCUAAUGGUCCUCACCUCUCAGAGUGGAAGGCAAAUACUGGUGACUGUUGAGUCACAGCCUCACGUGUCCAGCACCGUUGUAACCAACUAGACUAUGUUUGCUUAUGCACAUGGCAACAGAAAAUAAGGAGUCCAAGAAUAUGCAACCCAGAAAUCAAACUUAACCAUUGAAUAUAGCUGGCUUAGUCGGAUCAGGGCUACUAUAACAAAAUCUAAAAUGGGUGGCUUGGCCAGGCAUGGUGGCUCAUACUUGUAAUCCCAGCACUUUGGGAGACCAAGGCAGGCAGAUCACCAGGUCAAGACAUUGAGACCAUUCUGGCCAAAAUGGUGAAACCCCAUCUCUACUAAAAAUAGAAAAAUGAGCUGGGCGUGGUGGCGCAUGCCUGUAGUCCCGGCUACUUGGGAGUCUGAAGCAGAAGAAUCGCCUGAACCUGGGAGGUGGAGGUUGCAGUGAGCUGAGAUCGCGCCACCUUCACUGCAGUCUGGUGACAAAGCGAGACUCUGUCUCAAAAAAAAAAAAAAAAAAAAAGUGUGGCUUAUAGACAACAGAAAUAUAUUGCUCACAGUCUGGAGGCUGGACGUCCAAGAUCAAUGUGCUGGCUGAUUUGCAUCAAAUCCAAUCUAUUUGUUUCACAGAUUCAAGAAAUCAGGCUAGCAACUCAGAAAGAGAGCCACUUAAAUUAGUUUCCGUUCUAGAACUCGGGCCUCUUGCCAUCAGGCCUGAUCUGUUCAUUUCUCAUUUGCUAUUCCUUCCAUAGAUAUUUAUCGAGCAUCUUCUAUGCACCAGGAGCCGUCUUAGGCUCCAGAUGGUAAUGAACCUCUUAUCACUUGACUCACUCCCUCUUCAUAGGACCAGGACUACCCAUCACGAAAGCCUAGGGGCUAAAACUCUCAUUAUUAAGAACAAAGUGAAUUAAAAUUAAUGAGCUCAAGGAGACCUGAUGUUUGCACUAAUAUGGUCUACUAUUUUUUUGUCAUAGCAUUUCUAUUCAAGAUUUUUAAUCAGAUAAAUCCAUCUAAAAAAAGGAUCUCGUAAAGCCUAAAAGAGGGCAUCCCUGUUUCUUCAUUUUUAUUCUUCGCAGAAGGACAAAAGAUGAAAGCUAUUAUUUCUCUACCAACCCUCACCUGCAAUAAAAGGGAUCUGUACUGGAAAGCCCCUUUAAACACACCCAGGGCAAAGGAAAAGUUGAAAGUAUUGACUUUUGUGAAGCCCACACUUCGGCUCAGCAGGCGGAGGCCUUUUCAGAGAUUUCUUCCUAACAGCCUGACAACACUUGGACAGGAAUCAGGACGCGAACCUCUCUGAAAAGUCCCAGCAAACAAGUCAGAUGAAAGGGCCGCACUUCAGAAAGAAAAUGCUGGCGCCCUGGAGUCUGAAGUUACCUGCGAAUCUUCCCUUCUCCCAGCACAGGGUAAACAUUUAGGGCAGCUGUGGAUCUGGGUUUCCUAGGAGUUCAUGAAUUUCAAAGAUGAAGCACAGAUCAUUCAGGUACAUUUUCCUUUAUGGUAUUUCUAUAAAACCAAAAAAAUUUAAAAGUUGGUGUAGAAAAUUGACUAUCAUUCAUUAACAGGAAGCUUUUUCGAUUGAAAAUACAGUUCUAUUGAUAUUAGAAGCUAAGGUGACUUUUUUCUUGAAUAAUAAUUGCCAAAUACCCUUGUCUUUAAUGGAAAAAAAUUUUUAAAAUGCUUUUUACGUUCUACAAUGAGAUUAUUUGACAGGAUAGAAUAAUUAGUAUGCUUGCACUCACAAACAUGAAAUAUUUCUAAACAUCAUGAGUAUUUGAACUAAGUGAAUGACUGGAAGAGGAUGGGAAAGCAGAGGGAAUGAAAAACCAAAGAGCCCCAAUUAUUUGCAAGAAAAAUAAUGAUUUAUCUUAGUUUUAUGCCUUGGCAAUGUUUUUGAGUAAUAAAAAUGCAACUUUGUGGCUGACUGAAGAAUCCAAGAUAGUAGAGUUCUUAGGGAAUGAACUCAAAUAUGGCACAGGCAGCAAAACAAUGAGAACAGACCUCAGCUGUGUGUGGAGCUGAACCCUGCAGGCCCCCGCUGGGCCCCAUGUUAAUCCUUCAGUCGCUGGAUGCCUGGGAAGCCAGGUGGAAACCAGAAGAAAGGUAGAGAUGGGUGGGGCGGCAAAUCCUAAGAUGGUUCAAGACAGCAGCAUCUUCAAGUGACCCA
rnacentral:lncRNA from 1 species